CUCUCUUGUCUGCUGCCCGGCGAGACGUGACUUUGUUCCUCCUUUGCCUUCUGCGAUGAUGGUGAGGCCUCCCCAGCCACGUGGAACUGUCUACUUCUGAAAGAACAGUUUCACUGAUGAAACGGAUUCAUUUCUGGCUUUCAGUCUUAAAGCUGCAUAUACAAGAAAUGCUUGAAGCCCUCGGCAUGGCCCUGUCUGUGACGCCUGCCCCGCUGGGGCCAUGGAGGGACACAGCUACUCACCCCUUCGGACUUCUUGUCAGGGAAGACGCAUGUCGACCCCCCGGCUGUGAAGUUGCAGUAAACCUUGAAGGAAUCCCUGGAGCAUCCUUGGUUAGGAUCGACCCAGUAUUCACCUGGAUUUCAGAGACGGGGAGGGAGGCAGGCAGAGUCAGAAGGAUUGCUCCCUGGAUGGUUCCGGAAGCCGCUGUGACAUUUCAGUCCAGCAGUUAAAAUGCACGCCCCAGGAAUGCCGCCAACACGGGCCUUUCUGGGGUUUACUUUAUUGCAUUUUGCUUCUCCUGCUGGGCCCAUAAAGAGAUGUGGACAAACUCAUUCACCAAGAACACAGCUGGUGCAUGAAGCAACUGGGUACGUGUUCUGGUGGCCAGGAGGGUUGGGGUCCGGCCUACUCUCUGGGUGGACAGAAAUGCAGAGAGGGUUCUGGAAGGAACUCUGGAAAUUCAUGCAUGUAGGAUCAGAGUCUACUGGAACCAUGAACAUCCCUCGAAUCUUGCAGGGGGAACAUUCAAACUUCCCAGGGGGAAGAAAAGCUAAUGGGAAUUUAUCCUUCAAUUGGUGCCUGAGGCUAUGAUGGUGAGGAGAAGGAUGUGUUUUUACAGUAUCGCGGAGUUUGAAGGCCGUUUGCCCAAGCACAGCGUCUGCUGCCGGUCCUAACACUGACCCUUACUUCCACUGGCACUGUGCCAGCCUCUCAGGCACUGCCUCACGCAACUCUGUCCUCUUCCUGGGAGAUGUUUCUGUUCCCAUUUGACAGGUCAGGAACACGAGGUUCAAGCAGGUCACCCCGCCAGAAAAUGCCUAAGACCAGAUGAGAACCUGGAGAGUCUGACCUCAAAGCCUUGGCCUCUGCACCCGGCCUCACCCUGAGAUGCCUCCAUAAAGUUCAAGAGGGGAGGCUCUUGCGCACCCCGGCCCCACAGAUGGGGAGGCUGCGGCUGCCCGUCCUGUCCCUUCCGCUGUGCCUGGCUGAACUGUCCUUGCCACACUCCAUGUGUCCUGCAGGUCCAUGCCCGCUUUGGGGGGCCACCCCUGCCCCCCCAGGCCCUCACCAUCUGGGAAGUCGGGGUGGCAGAGCUGCAGGUCCUUGCAGGUGCGGGCGGGGUUCUGCUGCGUGCCCAGGGGCCGUUUCAUCUGCUCAAUCUCCAGCUUCAGAGAGUUGAGAGAGCCGAAGAUCUCUUCCAUGCCGUCCGCGUAGUCCACGUAGUUCUCGCCAUUCCCGUCGUCCAGCAGCUGGCUGGCGUCGAUGUUCCGCCGCGUCCUGGAUGCCUGGAUUGGCAGGGGCUGGAUGACCUCUCCCGGGGGGCCCUGGGGGACAGAACAGGAGCAGCGGUGGGUGAUGGAGGAUGGGAAGGGUCCCAGGAUAUGAGCAGAGCAGGGACAGCUGGGGCCACAUCUGCAGGGGUUCCCUGGGGCCUGGCAACCUGGGCUACAUGGACAUCUGUCCGCCUUAGAACUGUUUCCAUCCCUUCCUCCAGUCUCUGGAACAUUCCACACCCAUCCCCACUGCCAGGUGCUUGCCAGCAUGGAGCACCUCUCCUUUCUCUCUAGAGCUGAAACUUAACAGUUUGCAGCCUUGGGCUUGCAUCUGCCAUCCUGCCCUCAGCCACACAAAAGGCCAAGCCUUGAGGAAAGGGACCAGGUCUCCCCAGUCUGGCCUCUGCAGCCCUAGCUGGGGCUGAACACAGUGGGGCCACAUGAAUGCCUCCUGAUGCAAAGAGCCAUUCACUUCCAGAAGGCCACAGCUAAGAUGACGAUGGGAGUUGGAGAGACUCCACAACCAAAGGGGGGUGUCCAAUAGUGCACUCGCCAUGCCCUGGUUCAAACUGGGCUUCACCUUUCACCUCCAGGGCCUUGUCUAGUGCUCCCCCAUCCCAACACACACACACACAUGCACAUAUAUCCCAGACAUGCAUGUACACAUAUACAUAUGCACACACACACGGCCAUGCAUGCACGUAUACAAUAUACACACACUACACAUGCACACACAUAUGUGCCCCACAUAUAUGCAUGCAUACCCAUACACACAUCAUGCACACACACAUGCACAUACAAACCAUGUACACACACAUUACACAUGCAUGCACAUAUACAGGAUGCACGUACACAUACAGACAUGCACACACACGUGCCCAGUCACAUACACGCAUAUACUACACGUUCACACAUUCAUAUACCAUGCAUGCACACACAGCACACACGUGUAUCCUCUCUCUCCUGGCCAGCUGUUCUUCUCAGGGCCAAUUGGCCUGUAAGCUUCCUGUGAUAGACCUGUGUGGCUCAUUUCCCCGGCUGCGUGCGAGGGACAAGGCCCGGGCAUGCCACAUGGGCUUCAUGAGUCUCAGGAGGGGUCACACACACACAGUUGCUUUCUCAAUUCCCUCGGAGCUAGCCAGAGCCCCCGUCCCGCUUUCUGGGCUUCAAGGGCUACUUACCGGGGGGCCUGGGGGUCCUGGGUGGCCUGCCUCACCCUUCGGGCCAGUUGGACCCUGGGGAGAAAGAAAAGAAUCAACCCUUGGUCACAGAGGUAUGAGGGGACUUUGAAUCCACCUUCAGCUCUAGAAUGGUCCCUGGAGACCUAUGUGGGGGAGGUGGCCCUAUCAGCCACAGCAGAGAAGAGAAUGGCAGAGACCCCUGUACCCUCCUGGAUCCUUGAGAUGAGAACAGAGAGGGAUGGAGCCCUUCCUAGGGCAGGCGGCGAGCAGCCCACCUGCCUCAGUCCGCCAUGGGUCAGUGUAGAAAGAUGGGAGGAUCGUGAGCAGCAGGGCCUGAGCUAGGACGGUUGUCUGGGUAGUUUGUUCCCGUGCCAGGGGACCCGUCGCCCUCCCCUACCUUCCAGGCAUUGGCCUGGCUGGGCAGCAUGUUACUUACCGAGGAGCCCUUAGCACCUUUUGGACCAGGCGGACCCUGCAGAGAGAGGAGGGCAGAACGUCAGCAAGCCGGGUCUCAGCUCCAGCCCCACCGUGCUCCAUGUCCUGCCCAGCCUGGUCUCGCCCCUCGCCCCUCUCCCACCCGCAUCCCCCUCAAGAGUCUAUGCUUGUAUUUGCCCGGCUAGAGUGGGAGGAGGGUCGGGGCCUGGCUGGUGCUCACCCCUCGUGGAGACACAGGGUGGUCCUACCUGCCCCCGGCCAGCCUACCACCCACCCUGGCUAGGAAACCCCAGCUCAGACAGCCGCGGGGGGGGCGCAGCGGAAAAGAGCAUGUCCUGGCUCAGAAGGGGCUGAUGGAAUGCACCCCCCAGCCCUGAUAGCACACAGCAGGGGCCAGCCCUCAGCGUGCCAGGGGCCCCCGGGGGCCAUGUGUACCUGCAGCCCAGCGGCUGUGGGGAUGCCCUGGGAAUGCUGGGUCUCCCAGCAAUGUGAGACCCAGGCAGCGGUGCCAGAGGAGGGCAGCUAACUGCUCUUGUCUGGGCCAGGCUGGCCGGGCUCCUGGGAAUUGGGAGGGCUGGAGAGCCAACUACUACCUUCCGCACCCUCCCCAGAUGCCUACAGACAAGUGGCCUCGUUCCCUGAAAUGGCCACCGUUUCCUGUCCCUGUCUUCCCCACCAAAAACCAUGGCCGGGCAACGCCACUUCCUUUCUUCUGUCUCCUGGAACCCCAAUGUUGAGUUAAUGGGCAAAUCCACCCUGGAGGCCCCAAUUCCAGCUUCUCGUGUGACUUUUCCACAAUUCUCUAGCUCCACACUGAGGCCCCAAGGCUUAUCCCCACCCUCCCUGCCCUCCCAGGAAUGACCAAGCCCCUCCCAGAUACACACCGGCAGGCCAGGGGGCCCAGGAGGCCCAAUCGGGCCAGAAGGACCAGUGAUACCCUGAAAAGGACCAGAAAAUGCAGGUUAUCACCUUCAGACGAGGAGGAGCUGCGGGGCUGCAACCCUGCUACCCAGCCACACCCCUCGGCUCCCCUGUCCCUUCCCCACGGUAUGCCCUUUGGCCCCUCAGCAGCCUCCUGUGGCUGCUUUCUGAUCCUGGGCUGUGCAUGUCAGGGGAGCCAUCGACCUGAGCAUCCACCCCAAGGCUGCCAGCCCUCGGCACUGCUCCCCCGGCUGGGCUGCCAGGAACUCACUCUCAUCCCCCAGGCCACCGAGGACUUCAGGCUGAGCACCUCUUUUCACGUUCAUUUGGAAAUACAGAAACCACUGCCCUGACAUUGUGGCCCUGGCUUGGGCCCCUCUUGCUGUUUCCUGCUCAUGGUGUUAGUCUCCCCUCUAGAACUAAGCCCGGAGGGGUUGGGCAGGGAGUCCCAUCCAUGCUGACUGUCCUGUCCUGCCUGUAAAUGUGCUUUCUGCAUCCUUGGAGCGUGGAACCUCCGCUCAGACCCCUUCUCCCCACUGACUCCCUCCCAGACUGAGCUGCUGGCACAGAACAGCUUUGACCAGCUUUGCCACGGGCAGCUGGAGCCACCUGCAGCCUCUCUCCCUACAGCCCUGGAUUCCACUCAGAGCUCUCUCCGGGCAGAAGCUGGGGGCGAGGGUAGCGGAGGGCUGAUGGCCGUAUUUCACUGGGGAGGGAGCGCUUCCCUCCCUUCACCUUGUCCCUGCAGGAACUUGGGCUGUGGCUCAUUGUAAGGACCCCACAACUACCCAAGCCUGCACACCAACCCGACACCUUCAUCAGCAAUGCCGCCAAGACCAUGGUUUGGGGUGAGGGCAGGUGAGCAAACAGGGUGGACACAGGGGUGCUUUCCCCGCUGGCCGUGGGGACCCUGGAUGCCUCUCUAAUUCUCGUGGUUGCCGGGCCACCACACCCUGGGCGGCACUCCUCCGACGACCCUGCUGUGGCCUGGGGAUACCGGCAGAGGAAAACAGUCAAUGGCAUGGAGGACACUGGCCAGUGAGGUAGGGUUUGCAAUGAGCUCCACCCUUCAGCCAUGUCCUGCAACCUUCCCCGGGCCCAUAGUGAGGGUGCCACCUUACUCCCAGCCUCCAGGGGCUCUGCCUGCUCCUGCCCUGUCCCCCGCAUCCUAUGAGGCAUGGGCGUGGGUGGGCACAGCAUACUGUGCGUGUGUGUGUCCGUCACACCUUGCUCGGGACGGAAAGAUUCCCACACAGGAAUAAGGACCCGUGGCCCUCAUGGGGGAAGGACAGAGGCACUACAGGUCACCUCAUCCCCUCUCCUGCCUCCAUGGCACACGUCACCCUCCCCAGGCCACUUCCAAGUCACUCAGAGUUGUGGGACAGAGUGAAGCUCUCUGCAUGGCGUUUCCUUGGCUAUGGUUUGCAGAGGCUGCAAACUCCAAUGAGCUACAGUUUGGGGGCAGCUGGGGACAAGGUGGAAGCAGGAGCCAGAACAGCCACUCUGCCCGCAGCUCUGGCAAACACGGCUGGUUGUCACCAGUGACCUCCUGGGCAAGCGGUGGGUGACAGGCUCUCCCACAGGGCUGGGAACCAGGCAGAAUGACCUGACUUCCGAGUCCCUCCAGCUCUGGGGGACACCACGGUCAUGAGGAGGAAGCCCCGCCUGCCAGUCAGGGCAUGGAGCUGGGAGACGGCUCUGCCCAGCUCACUGUGCACCUGGGCAAGCCCAGCCCGUCAGUGUUCCCAUCUGCCAAGCAGGAUGACCGGACUCAACCGACGUGUGGACGUCCUUCCGGGCUCUGAUGGGCCUCCUGUCCCCUGGGUGCCUGCCCCAGGGAUCUAAAAUGCCUCUCGACAGCCCACAUGCAAGAAGUGCCAUCUCACGCACCUGUUCUCCCUUAGGACCGGAGGAGCCCUGGGGGCCAGGGAGACCACGGUCGCCCUUCUCACCCUGUUCACCCGGAGGACCGAUGAGCCCGAUCAGGCCUGGAUGACCCUGUGGGAAAAUGAAGACAGGAAGGGGCAUUUGAGGGAGCCACGCCUCAUGCUCGGCCACGGUGGGCCAGUUAGCACGCAGCACAGCCAUGGCACAGGAAGCUUUACAUCAUGGUCAGCCUCCCCUGGAAGGGGAACAGGCUCAACAGAGGGGCCAGGAACCCAGGGCAAGCCUCGCAAGGCAGCCCCAGCUCUCAUUUGCCUUGGGGCUGGGGGCAGUGGUGGCGGACGUCAGAGUGGAAAUGAGAGGGCCCUCACUGCCUUCUGCUUCAUAUACAACCAUCUCACUCCUGAGUACCUUUUAUGUUUGUAAAUAAAUCAAUGCAAGUGGAAAACAAUUCCCAGCAGUUAGAAAAAUAAAAGGGCUUUGCUCCCACUGCAGAAAUGUCCUCACACCUCCUGCGGAAAGGAUCUGGGGCCGCUCAGCCCAGGGAGAGCAGCAACCUGGGAUCCUGGACACCCAUCAGCCGGGGCCUCUGUGCCUAGCUGGAAGGUUCUCCGUCAAUACCGCAGGGGCCUCCGGGAUCUCCCGAGCUGCUCAGGACCCCCCAGAGGCAGGGGCCAAGCCUCAAACACAGCGUGUCUAUUUUCCUUUGUCACCCCUCAGGUUCCCCACCAC
rnacentral:lncRNA from 1 species